UACAAAUUAACAUUGCUUAUUUAAUCUCUUCACUUAUAUUUCAUAUACAACACCGUUUACCGUACUAGGUUAGCUAUAAAUUUUGUGAUUGUACGCUCUGGUAAUAUCUACACUUGUUAUUUGUUACGUAAGGCGUUUGGCCAGUCGUAUAUCAGUCGUCAUGGUGUCUCUCAAACAAAGCAGCAAAAACUAUGUAGUUUUGAAGCCACGCAAAGGAAACCUUUAGCUUGGUAUGGAGCGGCCCUUGAGAUGUGGUUGAAUCUGUUGUCCGAGAAUGGGAAUUCCCUUGGUCUUUUGUUUAAUUUCUUUAAAGGGAAGAUAGUUAUUCCAGACAGAAGUUCUGCAAGAUUCAAAUCGAAUACCGCAUUUAUGGAUAAUCGAGUUCAACUUGACAAGAAUUUAGUAUACGGAGAUAAUAGAUAUUGUGCAGCUUUUUCGAUAAUGGCUGCUAAAUACUACAAAAAAGAAGGCUUUUAGGGACGGCCAUUGCUCAACAAAACGUCCCUAAAAAAUUGUAGUUGGGACGGUGGGUACCCCUCUAGUCGUCCUUAGUGAUGUGUUUUUGGAACGGUGGGUACAAAACGUUCCCAUAAUUUUUUAUUAGCCGUCCCUAGUAGUGUGUUUUUGGGACGGUGGGCACAAAACAUUCCAAUAAUUUUCUUAGCCGUCCCUAGUGAUUAUGUCGUCGGUAAGUUAGCUGUCCCUAGUGAUUAUGUCGUCGGUAAGUUAGCUAUUUUGCUCCCCACAGCGUUGAAACAUAGUCCCACUUUUUAAUCGAAGUAAAGAGACAGAAAAGGAAUGCCUAGUUUCCUCCUCCCAGAUCUGUAACCAAAUCAUCUUCUUCCUCGAAUCCUCUUCUGCUCAUAAGCACACUGAGAAGAAUGUGUUUUUGCAAACCCUAAAUUAAAGAGAAACUGUUUAUGUGAAAUCUUCAAUUUCUUCUCCGUCUCCGCUAACUCGUUCAAAUCUAGCAGGUUCUCGUCGUGCAACUUAGGGUAAGAAUCUCUUUCUAAAUCCCUUUGAAUUUUUUCCAGUUUGCUGUUUGAAAUGAACAAUUGAAGGUUUAUGUUGGGAAAAUCAAAUUAAUUUGCUCGAUUUUGAGGUGAAAUUUGUUAUUUCUCCGGUUCAAUUAGAAAAUACUAUUGAUUGAGUUUGAUAAUUUUGAGUUGAUAUAAUUUUGUAUUACAUGAUUAAGGGCACAUGCAUGCUAGAUGUGAAGCUCAUACCUGGUUGAAUGGAUUAUUUGUUUACUUGCUUACAUUAGUCAAUUUGUUUACCCUUAUUAGACUGGGAACUUGUGAUUUUGUUUACUUGCUUACAUUAGUCAAUUUGUUUACCGCUUAUUAGACUGGGAACUUGUGGUUUUGUUUACCCUUAUAAACUGAGAACUUGUGGUAGUAUGUACAUCAUCUGUUUGUUUACUUGGUACAAUGUGUGCUUCUGUUCAAAUUUUAGUCAGACCUGCAAAUAUUUUUACUAUUUCGUUCACUUAUUCAUGGUUAGUUAUUUUGUUACUCCUUUUGAAUUUUCUCAAAAUAUGGCAAUUGUUCACUGUGCCAUAUCUAUACAAACCUUCUACUCAAUGUGAAUUCAUAAGUAAAUAAUUUACUCCCCCACCUACUCAAUGUGACUAAAGAAUGUAAAACAAAGUUCUUCUCUCAACUUCACUCCAUCCAAAUAUUCGUUCACAUUGCCAUAUAGUAUAAGUAAUGAUCUUUGCCUUUAAUUUGUGAUCCUAACAUGGGAACGUGAUAAUUGGUAAUUACUGCUUUGUAGCGCCACAAGCAAACCCCACUUGGAUAUUUUGAUGCUGAUAAAAUCAAAUCAAGAUACAUAGGAACAUGUUAGCAAUAAUGACCUUUUAGUAGAUUUCUAAUCCCAAUUAUUUAUUUACUGAUAUUAAUUAUUACUUAACUUACUAAGUAUAUGUUAAGUGAGGAAAAGGAAAAUAUAAAACCUUAAUCUUUAUUAUCCUACACUUUUAAAUUGUUGCAUCCAUAUCUAAACACCAGGUGCCGGUGAAUCACAUAUUACAAUCAAUUGUUGCAUUCCGUUAUUGCUCUUUAUAGUCAUUGAGAUGGGACCUUUCUUCUGAUGGUUCCACAGUUUCCUCACCACCAGUUCUAACGUCCUGUACUUAAGUUUCUGACAUGUCAUUUUUUUAAAUCCUAUAUAUGAUAUGAAUGCGUGUUAAGCCAGGUGCGUAUUGCUGGUAUUGGCGAUUAGGUUCAUAUAAUCGCAGGAUCAUUCGCUGGCUUGCGUGCUCAUAAUCAUCGAUCGCUACUAACUUACUAUCACCAAGUAAUCCAUUACUAAUUUGGGUAUGGGCAUUAUCCCAAAUGUAAAGAUAAAUUUACACCCAAUAGAAAUAAUAUUCCAUGUUGUUUUCAUUACCUGGAGAUGCACUUUAGGAAUCGAAGGAGAAAUAAUAUCCCCAUUGCUCUUGCCUGGGAGAUAGAAGUCAUAGUCAUGUACUUCUGCAACUGUCUAUUUAUCCAUGUUCUUAUUAUCCCUUUCAUCAUUUACCCACUAGUGCAAGGCUCACAGUAAGCAUCAUUUGUUAUUAUUGUUUUGUUUUGAAACAGAAGUUGGCGGCGAAGAUUAAAGAAAAUAGGUCCAAACAAAUAGUUCAACAAACUUGUGGCUCCAAGCCACAUAUGGGAUAUGCAAAAGAGGAAGAUUAAUCAUUAAUCAAUUAUGAAUAUCCUCCAUUUCGUCUUUGGAAUCUGUGGGAAUGCAACUGCUCUGUUUCUCUUCUUGUCUCCACUGUAAGUUAUCUCUCUCCCUAUGUUCUUUUGAUCUUGUCCAUUAAAGGGCUGAGAAAUUUCAUUAAGGUCUUAGAGAAUUUGGACAUUAAUGUCUUCUUUCGGAUUCUAAUAACAAAUUUGGGGUUAAUUACUUUUCAUGUUUGCUUAAUUAGGUUUCUUGAAUUAUCAUCUUUCUUGUUUUACAGACACCAAUGGUGAUCGUCAAUUCCUCUUAUUGAUUUAUUUUGACCAAUAAUUUCAAUCUAUUUCUAUUUCUUCAUAAUUUGCAGAGUGACAUUCCAUAGAAUCAGAAAAACCAAAGGGAAUCGAAAAUUCUCUGGUGUUCCUUACAUCAUGACCUUGCUCAAUUGCCUUCUCUCUGGAUGAUAUAACUCUCUCUACCUCUCUAUCUCUCUAUAACAUGAUUGUUGUGCGCGAUUCCAUUUCGGAAUGAAUGGAAUAAAGAAUAGCAUAGGUAUAACAAUUCUUUGUAACAUGAGAAUAUCCGAUUCAAAAAUGAGACUGCUAGUAGUAUGUUGAGCUCCCGUAUACUUUUUUUCCUUGUUAUGCCUUCAUUAGGAUAACUUCGGGGAGAUGGGCAAUACUGGUCCUUGUGGUGGACCCUGCACAAAAACUCAUUUUGAUAGGUUUGGUAACCAAGAUUCUGCUUCGUUGUUCAAAAAUGAUGACCCAACAUGCAUUGAGAUCUGGAAUCUUGUUAUUCAUGUAAAAACUUCGCAUAUGGAAAUUUUUUUUCUUAAUAGUUCAUUUGCAAUCACUUCAUUGUUGUUCAAACAGAGUGUAAAGUAUAGAUGGUGGUUAUUGGUGGCGCAAAUAUGGGAAAUAAGUGCUAAAGUUGCAGUAUUGCUACCAAACCGAAAUAAUGAAGGACUCGAGGUAUCUUACCAAACUUAUAUCCAACUCGUUUGAUUACUUGGUUAAGUGAUAGGAAAUGUGGCAGCAUACUGGGAGCUCGAUGGAAAUUUUGGUGUCAUGUGCCAACGGUAUGGGCAUUAUCCCAAAUGUUCUAAUUGAGGUGAGUUAGAACUCCUCCAAAGGCAUAACACAAACUAGAAAUGAAAACCCAUAAACAGAGUAUUUAUUCCUCCAUCCUUGUCCCAUUACUAUUUACUGUUAUGCCCUAUUUGGUUUGGUCAUUUUCUCGUAACCAUGAACUGAGUAUGUAAGUUAAGAUGCCAUUUGUUUAGUUAUUUUCAGUAAAAACGAUUUGAGCCAACCUGAGAUGCUGAUAAUUUGGUUCUAGGAAUUCUUUUAUUCGAAUUUCACUCUACAGUGAGGCACCCUUAUCUAGGUUAGAUACUUCGGUUUCGUUCUCCGUGUACAUCGAUCGAUGAAAUCCUAUACUAACUUUGGUUUGCUGCAGAAUUUCGACGAUGAUAACAUGUCGUUCUCGAGCAGAAGCAAUCAAAUAUAUUCCCAAUGUAGAUGGUGCACCAUUUAUGUCCAAGUUGUAUACAACUUUGGUAGUCUGAGAACAUCACCUCUUGAUUGUUUUUGCAGAGUUAAUUUUUCUUUUGUACGAGAUUUGUUGCUGUAAAUGACUGGAUCAUUUUUGUGAACCUGAUUUCAUGAAUGAGAAUGUCUUUUGGUGCAAUGUUAUG